UGUAGCUCAGUGGUAAAGCACUUGCCUAAUAUCUGCAAGGCCCUGGGUUCCAUUCCCAGCA
rnacentral:tRNA from 1 species